rnacentral:rRNA from 1 species
GACGAACGCUGACGGCGUGCUUAACACAUGCAAGUCGAAGGGAGUGGCGAACGGGUGAGUAACACGUGAGUAACCUGUCCUUUUCUUUGGGAUAAGCCUGGGAAACUGGGUCGAAUACUGGAUGGAUUGGGAUGGGCUCGCGGCGUAUCAGCUCGUUGGUGGGGUGAUGGCUUACCAAGGCUUUGACGGGUAGCCGGCCUGAGAGGGUGGGCGGUCACACUGGGACUGGGACACGGCCCAGACUCCUACGGGAGGCAGCAGUAGGGGAUAUUCCACAAUGGACGCAAGCCUGAUGCAGCCAUGCCGCGUGAGUGAAGAAGGCCUUCGGGUUGUAAAGUUCUUUCAGCGGGGAAGCGUUACCCAAAGAAAAAGCACCGGCUAACGCCGUGCCAGCAGCCGCGGUAAUAC